rnacentral:rRNA from 1 species
GACGAACGCUGGCGGCGUGCUUAACACAUGCAAGUCGAACGGAAAGGCCCUGCUUUUGUGGGGUGCUCGAGUGGCGAACGGGUGAGUAACACGUGAGUAACCUGCCCUUGACUUUGGGAUAACUUCAGGAAACUGGGGCUAAUACCGGAUAGGAGCUCCUGCUGCAUGGUGGGGGUUGGAAAGUUUCGGCGGUUGGGGAUGGACUCGCGGCUUAUCAGCUUGUUGGUGGGGUAGCGGCUUACCAAGGCUUUGACGGGUAGCCGGCCUGAAAGGGUGACCGGCCACAUUGGGACUGAGAUACGGCCCAGACUCCUACGGGAGGCAGCAGUGGGGAAUAUUGCACAAUGGGCGGAAGCCUGAUGCAGCAACGCCGCGUGCGGGAUGACGGCCUUCGGGUUGUAAACCGCUUUCGCCUGUGACGAAGCGUGAGUGACGGUAAUGGGUAAAGAAGCACCGGCUAACUACGUG